CAGCUGGAUUUCCCCGGAGGCAGCUUCAGCUGACUCGACAGUGGCGCUCUUUCUGUCUUAAUCUCUCUCCAAAAUCGAGAGAUGUUUCCACCGUAGUCACAGAAGCUUUUUUUCCCAGUGGGCAAUGGCUACUACAGAGGCUCACAACUGGUCAGAAUACAGAGAACAAGGGACUGCGAGUGCUCAAGCCUGAAGGAGACACAUCUAUGGCCACGCCUCUCACCAGGUUAAGGGAGCAUCGCAGAAGAGAGCCUGGGAAGAGUGCAAAGGCCUGAGGAUGGAAAGGUCAUGCUCAGGAUCUGGCUGAGGGCGUGGCACCUGGUUCCAGAGAAACGGCCCAGAGAAGGAGGCUGGAUUUGCAGCCUGCGGUGAGGAUGGCACAGGCUCGGCACUGUGUGAUGAACAUUGAACACCCUCCGUCCCGUCUCCGUGUUGUGUCCAGGCUCCAGAAACAGGCCUGUUUUCGUCACAAGCCCUCAUGGUUGCUGAGAAACGCUCCAGGAUGCAAUUGGAGGUAGGGGCUCUUAUGAACUGAAGCCCCAAGACCUAUUUCAGUAGCUCUUGUCAGAUCUCCCUUGAGAAAUGUCUAUUCCCAGUGGUAUGGCUUGGGCAGCAUGUGGAGCUACCGGCAGUGGGACCAGGCUCUAACCCUAACGCAUGAACUGACUUUGUGGAAGCCACUCUCUAUGGAGAAAUACCUCGC